AGUAUUAAAUUAUCCUUACAUUGAUUUAUUAUAAGAGUUUUUUUUAUUAUUAUACAUUGAUUUGCCGUUGAUUUGUGGCUAUUUGAGAUGACUUGUAAAGUCAUCAAAAUUUAUUUGCUCCAUUUGUAAGGAAAAAUUCGAGUGGCAACCUGAAGUUUGCUUGGAGCUCAUUUAUAUAAAUGUACCAAUGAUUGGUAAAGGCACUCACUCGUUAAUAUGAUGAAACGUUUUUAAACGUACAUAAAUGACAAUAGUAACAAUUCAGCCCAAUUGAUUGCAUAAGUGUAAUCUUCUUUCAUUCAUAUAUGAAUAUCAAUAUGGAAACAAGAAAUGAAGAGAUGUUGAAUAUCUCUAUAUAUUACUAAUUUACUACACAUAUUUUGGAUAAAAUAAGUGUAAUGAAAAAGUUAUAAACCAGAAG
rnacentral:lncRNA from 1 species